UACGGGGGGUGCGAGCGUUGUCCGGAAUCACUGGGCGUAAAGGGCGCGUAGGUGGUUUGAUAAGGGUGUGGUGAAAGCCCGGGGCUCAACCCCGGGUCUGCCGUGCCGACUGUCAAACUCGAGGGCUGUAGAGGCAGACGGAAUUCCUGGUGUAGCGGUGAAAUGCGCAGAUAUCAGGAAGAACACCCGUGGCGAAGGCGGCUCUCUGGGACGGUACUGACGCUGAGACGCGAAAGCGUGGGGAGCGAACAGG
rnacentral:rRNA from 1 species